rnacentral:piRNA from 3 species
UCCUUAGGUCGCUGGUUCGUUUCCGGCUCGAA